GACGAACGCUGGCGGCGUGCUUAACACAUGCAAGUCGAGCGGUAAGGCCCUUUCGGGGGUACACGAGCGGCGAACGGGUGAGUAACACGUGGGUGACCUGCCCUCAGCUCUGGGAUAAGCCCGGGAAACUGGGUCUAAUACCGGAUAUGACUUCAUGACGCAUGUUGUGGAGUGGAAAGCCUUGUGCGGCUGAGGAUGGGCCCGCGGCCUAUCAGCUUGUUGGUGGGGUGAGGGCCUACCAAGGCGACGACGGGUAGCCGGCCUGAGAGGGCGACCGGCCACACUGGGACUGAGAUACGGCCCAGACUCCUACGGGAGGCAGCAGUGGGGAAUCUUGCGCAAUGGGCGAAAGCCUGACGCAGCGACGCCGCGUG
rnacentral:rRNA from 1 species